GGUGGUUCUCAGGUGAUGCACCCCCAAAUCGGGCUCCCUCCUCUCUGAUUCCGGGUGUGUCACUCGAGAACCAAA
rfam:Myotis lucifugus cont2.26992, whole genome shotgun sequence.